rnacentral:rRNA from 1 species
CCAGCAGCUGCGGUAAUUCCAGCUCCAAUAGCGUAUAUUAAAGUUGUUGCAGUUAAAACGCUCGUAGUCUGAUGUAAUGGGGACUAAUGUGGGGAGCAGCAAUGCUCUUUGCUUCGGUCCUCAUCAACGGGACAGCAAUAUCCCAUUUUACUUUGAGGAAAUUAGAGUGUUCAAAGCAGGCGAUUGCUUGAAUACUGCAGCAUGGAAUAAUGGAAUAGGACUCGCGUCUUAUUUUGUUGGUUUGGAGAUGUGAGUAAUGAUGAAUAGGGACAAUUGAGGGCAUUAAUAUUCAGUAGUCAGAGGUGAAAUUCUUGGAUUUACUGAAGACUAACUAGUGCGAAAGCAUUUGCCAAGGAUGUUUUCAUUGAUCAAGAACGAAAAU